rnacentral:rRNA from 1 species
GAUGAACGCUGGCGGCGUGCCUAAUACAUGCAAGUCGAGCGAACAGACGAGGAGCUUGCUCCUCUGACGUUAGCGGCGGACGGGUGAGUAACACGUGGAUAACCUACCUAUAAGACUGGGAUAACUUCGGGAAACCGGAGCUAAUACCGGAUAACAUGUUGAACCGCAUGGUUCAACAGUGAAAGACGGUCUUGCUGUCACUUAUAGAUGGAUCCGCGCCGCAUUAGCUAGUUGGUAAGGUAACGGCUUACCAAGGCAACGAUGCGUAGCCGACCUGAGAGGGUGACCGGCCACACUGGAACUGAGACACGCUCCAGACUCCUACUGGAGGAAGCAGUAGGGAAUAUUCCGCACUGGGCGAAAGCCUGACGGAGCAACGCCGCGUGAGUGACGAAGGUCUUAGGAUCGUAAAACUCUGUUAUUAGGGAAGAACAAAUGUGUCAGUAACUAUGCACGUCUUGACGGUACCUAAUCAGAAAGCCACGGCUAACUACGUG